GUAAAACGAGAGAGGAGUGGGCUGGUGUUGGGGCCCGGUGGGCUCGGCAGGGUGUCUUUUCCUGAAAUCCCCUCAGAAAGAUUGGCGGUUGAGAGGACAGGACUGGAGUCUGAUGAAUGAGAGGACGGAGUGUUUAAAACUGUGAUGAGUCGACCUGAUCCUGAGCUGAUGGUGACGAUGGCGAGUGGAGAAGCAGCUUGUGGGUCAAGCACGGGCUCUGCUCUUCAGUACAAAGAGGCUGUUGCUGGGCAGCUGCUCUGACAUCAUCCUCAGCAUCAUCAUGAACAACAGCAACACCAGCAGCAGAAAAGGGCUCGCCUUCUGAUUUCUCACCCUCCUCAGCUUUCAUUCAUAAAAAAAAAAAAAACCACUGCCUUGUGCGUCACACAGAGGAGGUGGAAGGAUGGAAGGGAGGGGAAGGAGUGAGGCUGUUACUGAAGCAAAACACCCACAGGCAAGCAAGCUCGCACCUCGAAUAUACACACACAGGUGCGCACAUAAACACACGCACACACAAAUACACACAAUCGCCAGAGGCACCGGCGGUCCUGUUGUCAUAGAUACCCUCGUCCUGAAAAAAAGUGUUAAUUUGUGUAUCUAAAAAGACCGAGGGGA